GACGAACGCUGGCGGCGUGCUUAACACAUGCAAGUCGAACGGAAAGGCCCAACUUGCUGGGUACUCGAGUGGCGAACGGGUGAGUAACACGUGGGUGAUCUGCCCUGAACUUCGGGAUAAGCCUGGGAAACUGGGUCUAAUACCGGAUAUGACCAUUGGUUGCAUGACUUUUGGUGGAAAGCUUUUGCGGUUCAGGAUGGGCCCGCGGCCUAUCAGCUUGUUGGUGAGGUAACGGCUCACCAAGGCGACGACGGGUAGCCGACCUGAGAGGGUGAUCGGCCACACUGGGACUGAGACACGGCCCAGACUCCUACGGGAGGCAGCAGUGGGGAAUAUUGCACAAUGGGUGCAAGCCUGAUGCAGCGACGCCGCGUGGGGGAUGACGGCCUUCGGGUUGUAAACCUCUUUCGGCAGGGACGAAGCGCAAGUGACGGUACCUGCAGAAGAAGCACCGGCCAACUACAUGCCAGCCGCCGCAGUAACAC
rnacentral:rRNA from 1 species